rnacentral:rRNA from 1 species
GACGAACGCUGGCGGCGUGCUUAACACAUGCAAGUCGAGCGGUAAGGCCCUUUCGGGGGUACGACGAGCGGCGAACGGGUGAGUAACACGUGGGUGACCUGCCCUUAGCUCUGGGAUAAGCCUGGGAAACGUGGGUCUAAUACCGGAUAUGACUCCAUGACGCAUGUUGUGGGGUGGAAAGCCUUGUGCGGCUAGGGAUGGGCCUGCGGCCUAUCAGCUUGUUGGUGGGGUGAGGCCUACCAAGGCGACGACGGGUAGCCGGCCUGAGAGGGCGACCGGCCACACUGGGACUGAGACACGGCCCAGACUCCUACGGGAGGCAGCAGUGGGGAAUCUUGCGCAAUGGGCGAAAGCCUGACGCAGCGACGCCGCGUGGGGAUGACGGCCU